rnacentral:rRNA from 1 species
GUGGAGAUCAUUGAUACCAUGAAGAAUGGAGGACAUUCUGUGAAAACGGCGAUGGUAGUUUUUGAUGAUUGUUAUUUUUUUGCUUGUGAUUUUUCUCGUACUAGUUUCGAACAUUGUAGUAGCGGAGCGAACAAAGUUGCUCAUGAGUUUGUUAAGUUAGCUAGAUUUUCUUCAACUAACGAUUGGCUUGAGGAGCCUAUGAGCGAAAUUGUACUUCUCCUUACGGACGAUGUAACUAUUAGUAUUUCGAACUAA